rnacentral:rRNA from 1 species
GAAUUUAGCAGAGAUGCUUUAGUGCCUUCGGGAACUCUGAGACAGGUGCUGCAUGGCUGUCGUCAGCUCGUGUUGUGAAAUGUUGGGUUAAGUCCCGCAACGAGCGCAACCCUUAUCCUUUGUUGCCAGCGGGUCAUGCCGGGAACUCAAAGGAGACUGCCAGUGAUAAACUGGAGGAAGGUGGGGAUGACGUCAAGUCAUCAUGGCCCUUACGAGUAGGGCUACACACGUGCUACAAUGGCGCAUACAAAGAGAAGCGACCUCGCGAGAGCAAGCGGACCUCAUAAAGUGCGUCGUAGUCCGGAUUGGAGUCUGCAACUCGACUCCAUGAAGUCGGAAUCGCUAGUAAUCGUAGAUCAGAAUGCUACGGUGAAUACGUUCCCGGGCCUUGUACACACCGCCCGUCACACCAUGGGAGUGGGUUGCAAAAGAAGUAGGUAGCUUAACCUUCGGGAGGGCGCUUACCACUUUGUGAUUCAUGACUGGGGUGAAGUCGUAACAAGGUAGGCGUACGUGU